CCUACGGGGAGCAGCAGUGGGGAAUAUUGGACAAUGGGCGAAAGCCUGAUCCAGCCAUGCCGCGUGUGUGAAGAAGGCCUUCGGGUUGUAAAGCACUUUCAGUGGGGAAGAAAGCCUUGGGGCUAAUACCCUCGAGGAAGGACAUCACCCACAGAAGAAGCACCGGCUAACUCCGUGCCAGCAGCCGCGGUAAUACGGAGGGUGCGAGCGUUAAUCGGAAUUACUGGGCGUAAAGCGCGCGUAGGCGGUCUGAUAAGCCGGUUGUGAAAGCCCCGGGCUCAACCUGGGAACGGCAUCCGGAACUGUCAGGCUAGAGUGCAGGAGAGGAAGGUAGAAUUCCCGGUGUAGCGGUGAAAUGCGUAGAGAUUGGGAGGAAUACCAGUGGCGAAGGCGGCCUUCUGGACUGACACUGACGCUGAGGUGCGAAAGCGUGGGUAGCAAACAGGAUUAGAUACCCUAGUAGUC
rnacentral:rRNA from 1 species